rnacentral:rRNA from 1 species
UACGUAGGGUGCAAGCGUUAUCCGGAAUUAUUGGGCGUAAAGAGCGUGUAGGCGGCCUGAAAGGUCAGCUGUGAAAACUCGAGGCUCAACCUCGAGACGUCGGUUGAAACCAUCUGGCUAGAGUCCGGAAGAGGAGUGUGGAAUUCCCGGUGUAGCGGUGAAAUGCGCAGAUAUCAGGAGGAACACCGAUGGCGAAGGCAGGUCUCUGGGCCGAUACUGACGUGAGGAGCGAAAGCGUGGGGAGCGAACAGG